UACGUAGGGCGCAAGCGUUGUCCGGAAUUAUUGGGCGUAAAGAGCUCGUAGGUGGUCUGUUGCGUCCGCUGUGAAAACCCAGGGCUUAACCCUGGGCUGGCAGUGGAUACGGGCAGACUAGAGGUAGGUAGGGGAGAAUGGAAUUCCCGGUGUAGCGGUGAAAUGCGCAGAUAUCGGGAGGAACACCAGUGGCGAAGGCGGCGACCUGGACGGACACUGACGCUGAGACGCGAAAGCGUGGGGAGCAAACAGG
rnacentral:rRNA from 1 species